GCAACGCCGCGUGGGUGAUGAAGGCCCUCGGGUCGUAAAGCCCUUUUCCCAGGGACGAUAGUGACGGUACCUGGGGAAUCAGCCCCGGCUAACUACGUGCCAGCAGCCGCGGUAAUACGUAGGGGGCAAGCGUUGUCCGGAUUUAUUGGGCGUAAAGCGCUCGCAGGUGGUUCGUUGCGUCGUGCGUGAAAGACCCCGGCUCAACUGGGGAGUGUCGUGCGAUACGGGCGGACUGGAGGCCAGUAGGGGGAUGCGGAAUUCCGGGUGUAGUGGUGGAAUGCGUAGAGAUCCGGAGGAACACCAGCGGCGAAGGCGGCAUCCUGGACUGGUUCUGACACUCAUGAGCGAAAGCGUGGGGAGCGAUCCGGAUUAGAUACCCGGGUAGUCCACGCUGUAAACGAUGAGUACUAGGUGUCGGGGGUAUCGACCCCUCGGUGCCCGCAGCUAACGCGAUAAGUACUCCGCCUGGGGACUACGGCCGCAAGGCUAAAACUCAAAGGAAUUGACGGGGGCCCGCACAAGCAGCGGAGCGUGUG
rnacentral:rRNA from 1 species